rnacentral:lncRNA from 1 species
AAGAAAUAAGAGAAGUCUGAUAUUUUCUCUCUCUCCGAACUCUCAUCUCAAGUAAUAACCCUAGCUAAAUUUCAUCACUUUCUCAUUCUAAGUUACAAUGUUAUCAUGGAAUUAGAGUGAAGGAUUUCGUAGAUCGAAGGGUGAUGAAGCGGUGUUACCCCUGUUAAUUGGAUCGAAAGAGGUUGAUGUUUCUUCUGAUCUUUUUUGUUGUUUCUUUUGAUUUUUGGUGAAUGGCGUUUCUUAGUUUCCGGCAACGAAAUCAUUUUUCUCUCUGGUGUUUGGUGUACUCUUCUGAUUCCGGCAACUCGCUGUCACCUUAUAGUGUUUCAAGGCUCACUUCUUCGAGUAUAAAAGAGGGAGAUCGGUAACCUUAAUUUUCUAUCCUUACCUGAUUGAUGCAUGUUUAGAUUUGUUCCUCAAACUUGAUUCCGAUUUCUAUCUUGUUAUACGAUUUAUUCCUAUUUGUUAAGCUAUGGUGAAUUCAACUCUACAUGUAAACCCCAACACUUCUUCUAAUGGAACUUCAUAUAGUUCUGACCCUUCGAGUCCUAUUUUCAUAUAUUCUUUUGAUAUUUUUGGAAUAUGUCUAGUCGUACUCCUUUUUCUGGGUCUGGUUAUGGGGGGUGGAAGAGAAGCAUGAUAAUGUAUUUAUUUACCAAAAAUAAAAUUGCUUUUGUUGACGACUCUUGUCCUAGACCUACUGCUAAUAAUGACCCUGCAAAAUUACGACAGUGGGAUAUGUGCAUUAAUAUGAUAAUCUCAUGGUUAAAAAAUUCACUCUCACCAGUUAUUGCUGAGAGUGUCCAGUACUUAUAAACUGUUGAAAGUAUCUGAAAACAACUGGAACGUAGAUAUUGGGGUGUAAAUUGGACUAAGGAUUUUAAAAUUAAAAAAGAAUUAGCCUCAAUUCAGCAAGGGUCACUUGACAUUGCUUCAUACUUAAUAAACUAAAGAAGCUUUGGGAUGAGUUUGGUACUAGGCAUAAAAAUUAUGGUGAUUCCUGUACUUGUGCUGCAAAGCGAGGUAUUCAAAAAGAUGAGGAGGAAGAUAAGCUACAUCAAUUUCUUAUGGGUUUGAAUGAAGUUUUUGUGGGGGUCAUGAGUAAUUUAUUGAUGAUGCAACCUCCUCAUUCACUUGACAACGCAUAUAAUAUACUCCUUCAAGAUGAGGCAUCAAAGACAAGUUCAUUUCACUUCUCAACUAGCUCUAGAGUCUGCUUCCUUUUUCUGCCAAUAUGAACAAUAAGGCAUUUCCUCCCAAAACAGUACAAUCAAAAGAUAGAUUUUGGUAAUUCCAAGACCAAUGUUUUCUCUAAGUAUUGUAAGAAAUCAAGUCACACAAUUGAAAAAUGUUAUAAAUUUCAUGGGUUUUCCCAGAAUUUCAAAUUUAAUAAAGAAAAAAGGGUAGAUACUAAUGUGCCCACUAAGAAAGGGUGUGCAUAUCCUGGUUAGAAGCCUCUUUCUCCUCGGUUCUGUGAUGGUACUCCUAGUAAUGGUAAUGGUACUCCUAUGAGACCUGGCCGGUCGUCCUAAGAGUUAAUAUCCUGAUCCCCUAUAAACUGCUUUUCUUGUAUUUAUUUCUGCUAUUUUGAUUUGUCGGGAUGUUCGAUUUUAAGUUUCGUAGAGUUUUGGGACACUUAUUCCCUAAAUGAGAUCUUAAAUGUUGGAAAGUUAGCCGUAGUCGGAACAGUAUGAAGACGGCCUCAGAAUGGAAAUCCGAUGGUUCCGUAAGUUCCGUUAGAUGAUUUCGGAAUAGGGGCAUAUUUGGAUUGUAUUUUGGAGGCUCGUUGCUAAUUUAGGCUUGAAAUGUCGAAAGGUCAAAAUUUGAAGUUUUUGGUUCGAUAGUGAAAUUUUGAUCUGAGUGUCGGAAUGGAAUUUCAGAAGUUGGAGUAGCUCCGUAGGGUUAAAUGUGAUGUGUGUGCAAUAUUUCACGUAAUUCGAACGAGGUUUAAUAGUCUUUUUGAUCGAAAGUGUAUUUUAUGAAAUUUGGAGUUCCUAAGCUUAAAUCUAUAGUUAAUUCAAUGUUUCAAUGUUGUUUUAGGUGUUUUAAGGAUUUGUACAAGUUUGGGUUAUGGUUUCAGACUUGCUGCUGCCUUUUGUUGAGGUUCCGGGGGCCUUGGGAUGAUAUCAGAUGGUUGACGGAAGGAUUUUUGGAGUUAAAGUUGCAGCUUCAGUUGCUGGUUCUGUCAUAACCGCACAUGUGAUCGCAGAAGGGGAUAGUGGCUACAGAAGCGAGUUUCGGCCAAGCUCUAGGAUUUCACAGGUGCGGCUAGGUUUUUGCACAUGCGGUACCCCAGAUGCAGCCAAGCGACCACAGAUGCGGACCCAACCCAUUAAGUGACUUUUCACACUUGCGAUACAUUCUUCCGCAGGUGGAGGACCGUAGCUGCGCUCCCUUAACCGCAGAUGCGGAAACAGUUGGGUAGAAAUAUGAAAUUUUGAGGGUUAAUUUUAAAAGAUGAAAACUUAAUUUGGGAGCUCAGCAUAAGCGUUUUUGAGAGGAAUUUUCGCCUGGGUGUUUUGGGUAAGUGUUUAUUAUUUUUUGAUUGUUUUUCACGAAUCUAUGCUUAAAUUCAUCCUUUAAAUUCAAAUUUAGGAUGGAAAAAAUGAAGAAAAGUUGAAAAAGGUUCUUAAACCUAACAAUUGAAUUUGGAUCACGAUUUUGACAUUGUAUUGGGAUAAUUUUGAUAUAAAUGAACUCAUAAAAGUGUAAGGUUUCUAGAAAUAUAAAUUUUACCUAAUUCCGAGACGUAGGCCCGAGGGACGUUUUGGUCAUUUUACCUAAUUUCGUGUAUCAGCUUAAAAUUUAAUUGUAGAAUCAGUUACUUUAAGUGUUAUUUAUAAUAUGCAAUUGAAUUGAACAUAUUGAGCCAUUUGGAGUGGAGUACUAGUGGCAAAGAUGUGGUUUCAGAUUGAUUUUGAGCUGGUUCGAGGUAAUGGCUUGCCUAACCUUGUGUGGGGGACUUUUCCCUUAGGAUUUGGUAUAUUUGAUAAGUUAAAUGCCUUGUAUAUGAGGUGACGAGUGCGUAUUUGUGCUAAUUGUUAGAAAUCCGAUUUUCAUUAAGUAACUUAUAGUAUGUUUUCUUUCCUGUUUUAUUACUUGCACUAUUUAAGCCUGUGUUAGCUUAGGAAAAACAUGUCUAAUUGACUUAACUGCUUAUUUGCUUAAACUGUCAUAGUUGAAUUAUGUGAAGUAUGUUAGGUUAUAAUUUCCUAUUUAAUUGGUGCGAAGUCGAGCUUAAUUGCGUAUUUCUUGUGUUAUUGCCGCGUGUUUUACUUUGGACUUAGGGGACGGCAUCCCGGGAGAUCCCCUAUACGUAUUUAUGAUUUGAACUGAGGUGUGAGAUACCAAGAGAUACCUAGCACGUGUAUUGAGGAUACGAAGAGAUCCUCGGGAUACCAAGAGAUACCUAGCAUAUAUUGACGAUAUCAAGAGAUCCUCAGGAUACCAAGAGAUCCUCGGGCUACCAAGAGAUCUCCAUCAUAUAUAUUGAGGAUACUGAGAGAUACCACGGUUAUCAUCCUUGUUAUGGCAUAGUUUUUCCUUGUGUUUUGUCUUUAUCUCUGUUUCAGCUAUUAAAUUUCUUAUUAUCCUGUAUUAGAGUCUUAUUGUAGAUGCAAAAAUGGAACUGUUUAUCUUAUUUUGUCAUUUCUAUACUUAUUUGAUCUCAGUAGUGCCCUAAUCUUCCUCGUCACUACUCAACCAAGGUUAGGUUUGGCAUUUACUUAGUACCGUUGUGGUGUACUCAUGCCCUUUCUGAGCAUAUUUUUCAUGUGUAGAUCCAGGUACCUCUACUCAGGCCUACCAUUCUUGAGGCAAGGCGAUUCUACGGGACUUCAAGAUAUAUCUUCCGUGUCCACAGACUGAGGAGUCUCUCUUUCUAUUCUAUAUUGUAGUGAUAGCCCUCAUACCUUUACUGUUGAUGUAGACAUUCUAGAGUUAGAGCAUUUUUCUAUGUUUCAUAGCUUGUGAUUCAUGAGUUUCUGAGUAUUAAGAGUAUGUAUUAUUUUUGAGAAAUUAAAUAUUAUGUAUGCCGAGCAACACUUUUAAAUGCUGGUUAUUACUUUACUUUUGCUUUAAAUUGUUUUACUUUUGCAAAAUUUGUUUUUUCUUAUGCAAGUUAGGCUUACCUAGUCGUAGAGACUAAGUGCCGUCAUGAUAGUUCACAGAGGGCGAACCGGGGUCGUGACAAGUUGGUAUCAGAGCUGUAGGUUCAUAGGAUUCAUGUAUCACAAGCCGGUUUAUUAGAGUCUCGCUGAUCG